rnacentral:rRNA from 1 species
CUACGUGCCAGCAGCCGCGGUAAUACGGAAGGUCCAGGCGUUAUCCGGAUUUAUUGGGUUUAAAGGGAGCGUAGGCUGGAGAUUAAGUGUGUUGUGAAAUGUAGACGCUCAACGUCUGAAUUGCAGCGCAUACUGGUUUCCUUGAGUACGCACAACGUUGGCGGAAUUCGUCGUGUAGCGGUGAAAUGCUUAGAUAUGACGAAGAACUCCGAUUGCGAAGGCAGCUGACGGGAGCGCAACUGACGCUUAAGCUCGAAGGUGCGGGUAUCGAACAGGAUUAGAUACCCUGGUAGUCCGCACAGUAAACGAUGGAUGCCCGCUGUUGGUACCUGGUAUCAGCGGCUAAGCGAAAGCAUUAAGCAUCCCACCUGGGGAGUACGCCGGCAACGGUGAAACUCAAAGGAAUUGACGGGGGCCCGCACAAGCGGAGGAACAUGUGGUUUAAUUCGAUGAUACGCGAGGAACCUUACCCGGGAU